GACGAACGCUGGCGGUGUGCUUAACACAUGCAAGUCGAACGAUGAAGCUAGAGCUUGCUCUGGUGGAUUAGUGGCGAACGGGUGAGUAACACGUGAGUAACCUGCCCCGAACUCUGGGAUAACUGCUGGAAACGGUAGCUAAUACCGGAUAUGACCAAUGAAGGCAUCUUCUGUUGGUGGAAAGAAUUUCGGUUCGGGAUGGACUCGCGGCCUAUCAGCUUGUUGGUGAGGUAACGGCUCACCAAGGCGACGACGGGUAGCCGGCCUGAGAGGGUGAUCGGCCACACUGGGACUGAGACACGGCCCAGACUCCUACGGGAGGCAGCAGUGGGGAAUAUUGCGCAAUGGGCGCAAGCCUGAUGCAGCAACGCCGCGUGAGGGACGACGGCCUUCGGGUUGUAAACCUCUUUUAGUAGGGAAGAAGCGAAAGUGACGGUACCUGCAGAAAAAGCACCGGCUAACUACGUGCCAGCAGCCGCGGUAA
rnacentral:rRNA from 1 species